rnacentral:rRNA from 1 species
CUCGUAGGUGGCUUUGUAAGUCAGGUGUGAAAGCCCACGGCUCAACCGUGGAAUUGCACUUGAUACUGCAUCGCUAGAGUAUAGGAGAGGGAAGUGGAAUUUCUGGUGUAGGAGUGAAAUCCGUAGAGAUCAGAAGGAACACCCGUGGCGAAGGCGACUUCCUGGACUAUUACUGACGCUGAGGAGCGAAAGCGUGGGGAGCAAACA